GUUAUAUGGUCAAGUGAAGAAGCGCAUACGGUGGAUGCCUUGGCAGUCAGAGGCGAUGAAAGACGUGGUAGCCUGCGAAAAGCUUCGGGGAGUCGGCAAACAGACUGUGAUCCGGAGAUGUCUGAAUGGGGGAACCCAGCCAUCAUAAGAUGGUUAUCUUGUACUGAAUACAUAGGUGCAAGAGGCGAACCAGGGGAACUGAAACAUCUAAGUACCCUGAGGAAAAGAAAUCAACCGAGAUUCCCUUAGUAGUGGCGAGCGAACGGGGACCAGCCCUUAAGUUGUAUUGAGAUUAGCGGAACGUUCUGGAAAGGACGGCCAUAGUGGGUGAUAGCCCUGUACGCGAAAAUCCCUUUGCAAUGAAAUCGAGUAGGACGGGGCACGAGAAACCUUGUCUGAAUAUGGGGGGACCAUCCUCCAAGGCUAAAUACUACUGACUGACCGAUAGUGAACAAGUACCGUGAGGGAAAGGCGAAAAGAACCGCGGAGAGCGGAGUGAAAUAGAUCCUGAAACCGUAUGCGUACAAGCAGUGGGAGCCCACUUUGUUGGGUGACUGCGUACCUUUUGUAUAAUGGGUCAGCGACUUAUUUUCAGUGGCGAGCUUAACCGAAUAGGGGAGGCGUAGCGAAAGCGAGUCUUAAUAGGGCGUCUAGUCGCUGGGAAUAGACCCGAAACCGGGCGAUCUAUCCAUGGGCAGGUUGAAGGUUGGGUAACACUAACUGGAGGACCGAACCGACUACCGUUGAAAAGUUAGCGGAUGACCUGUGGAUCGGAGUGAAAGGCUAAUCAAGCUCGGAGAUAGCUGGUUCUCCUCGAAAGCUAUUUAGGUAGCGCCUCAUGUAUCACUGUAGGGGGUAGAGCACUGUUUCGGCUAGGGGGUCAUCCCGACUUACCAAACCGAUGCAAACUCCGAAUACCUACAAGUGCCGAGCAUGGGAGACACACGGCGGGUGCUAACGUCCGUCGUGAAAAGGGAAACAACCCAGACCGUCAGCUAAGGUCCCAAAGUCAUGGUUAAGUGGGAAACGAUGUGGGAAGGCUUAGACAGCUAGGAGGUUGGCUUAGAAGCAGCCACCCUUUAAAGAAAGCGUAAUAGCUCACUAGUCGAGUCGGCCUGCGCGGAAGAUGUAACGGGGCUCAAACCAUGCACCGAAGCUACGGGUAUCAUCUUAGGAUGAUGCGGUAGAGGAGCGUUCUGUAAGCCUGUGAAGGUGAGUUGAGAAGCUUGCUGGAGGUAUCAGAAGUGCGAAUGCUGACAUGAGUAACGACAAUGGGUGUGAAAAACACCCACGCCGAAAGACCAAGGUUUCCUGCGCAACGUUAAUCGACGCAGGGUUAGUCGGUCCCUAAGGCGAGGCUGAAAAGCGUAGUCGAUGGAAAACAGGUUAAUAUUCCUGUACUUCUGGUUAUUGCGAUGGAGGGACGGAGAAGGCUAGGCCAGCCUGGCGUUGGUUGUCCAGGUUUAAGGUGGUAGGCUGAGAUCUUAGGUAAAUCCGGGAUCUUAAGGCCGAGAGCUGAUGACGAGUGUUCUUUUAGAACACGAAGUGGUUGAUGCCAUGCUUCCAAGAAAAGCUUCUAAGCUUCAGGUAACCAGGAACCGUACCCCAAACCGACACAGGUGGUUGGGUAGAGAAUACCAAGGCGCUUGAGAGAACUCGGGUGAAGGAACUAGGCAAAAUGGCACCGUAACUUCGGGAGAAGGUGCGCCGGUGGAGGUGAAGCAUUUACUGCGUAAGCCCCUGCCGGUCGAAGAUACCAGGCCGCUGCGACUGUUUAUUAAAAACACAGCACUCUGCAAACACGAAAGUGGACGUAUAGGGUGUGACGCCUGCCCGGUGCCGGAAGGUUAAUUGAUGGGGUUAGCGCAAGCGAAGCUCUUGAUCGAAGCCCCGGUAAACGGCGGCCGUAACUAUAACGGUCCUAAGGUAGCGAAAUUCCUUGUCGGGUAAGUUCCGACCUGCACGAAUGGCGUAACGAUGGCGGCGCUGUCUCCACCCGAGACUCAGUGAAAUUGAAAUCGCUGUGAAGAUGCAGUGUAUCCGCGGCUAGACGGAAAGACCCCGUGAACCUUUACUAUAGCUUUGCACUGGACUUUGAAUUUGCUUGUGUAGGAUAGGUGGGAGGCUUUGAAGCGUGGACGCCAGUCUGCGUGGAGCCAACCUUGAAAUACCACCCUGGCAACUUUGAGGUUCUAACUCAGGUCCGUUAUCCGGAUCGAGGACAGUGUAUGGUGGGUAGUUUGACUGGGGCGGUCUCCUCCUAAAGAGUAACGGAGGAGUACGAAGGUGCGCUCAGACCGGUCGGAAAUCGGUCGUAGAGUAUAAAGGCAAAAGCGCGCUUGACUGCGAGACAGACACGUCGAGCAGGUACGAAAGUAGGUCUUAGUGAUCCGGUGGUUCUGUAUGGAAGGGCCAUCGCUCAACGGAUAAAAGGUACUCCGGGGAUAACAGGCUGAUACCGCCCAAGAGUUCAUAUCGACGGCGGUGUUUGGCACCUCGAUGUCGGCUCAUCACAUCCUGGGGCUGAAGCCGGUCCCAAGGGUAUGGCUGUUCGCCAUUUAAAGUGGUACGCGAGCUGGGUUUAGAACGUCGUGAGACAGUUCGGUCCCUAUCUGCCGUGGACGUUUGAGAUUUGAGAGGGGCUGCUCCUAGUACGAGAGGACCGGAGUGGACGAACCUCUGGUGUUCCGGUUGUCACGCCAGUGGCAUUGCCGGGUAGCUAUGUUCGGAAAAGAUAACCGCUGAAAGCAUCUAAGCGGGAAACUUGCCUCAAGAUGAGAUCUCACUGGAACCUUGAGUUCCCUAAAGGGCCGUCGAAGACUACGACGUUGAUAGGUUGGGUGUGUAAGCGCUGUGAGGCGUUGAGCUAACCAAUACUAAUUGCCCGUGAGGCUUGACCAUAUAACACCCAAGCAAUU
rnacentral:rRNA from 1 species